rnacentral:tRNA from 1 species
GGAGGAAUACCCAAGUCCGGCUGAAGGGAUCGGUCUUGAAAACCGAGAGGGGCUUAACGGCUCGCGGGGGUUCGAAUCCCUCUUCCUCCG